rnacentral:rRNA from 1 species
AGAGUUUGAUCCUGGCUCAGAGUGAACGCUGGCGGCAGGCCUAACACAUGCAAGUCGAACGGCAGCACAGGGGAGCUUGCUCCCUGGGUGGCGAGUGGCGGGAGGAAAACGUCGGAAUCUGCCUAUUUGUGGGGGAUAACGUAGGGAAACUUACGCUAAUACCGCAUACGACCUACGGGUGAAAGCGGAGGACCUUCGGGCUUCGCGCAGAUAGAUGAGCCGACGUCGGAUUAGCUAGUUGGCGGGGUAAAGGCCCACCAAGGCGACGAUCCGUAGCUGGUCUGAGAGGAUGAUCAGCCACACUGGAACUGAGACACGGUCCAGACUCCUACGGGAGGCAGCAGUGGGGAAUAUUGGACAAUGGGCGCAAGCCUGAUCCAGCCAUGCCGCGUGUGUGAAGAAGGCCUUCGGGUUGUAAAGCACUUUUGUCCGGAAAGAAGCGCACCGGGUUAAUACCCUGGUGUUAUGACGGUACCGGAAGAAUAAGCACCGGCUAACUUCGUGCCAGCAGCCGCGGUAAUACGAAGGGUGCAAGCGUUACUCGGAAUUACUGGGCGUAAAGCGUGCGUAGGCGGUUUGUUAAGUCUGAUGUGAAAGCCCUGGGCUCAACCUGGGAAUGGCAUUUUGAACUGGCAGUCUAGAGUGCGUCAGAGGGGGGUGGAAUUCCACGUGUAGCAGUGAAAUGCGUGGAUAUGUGGAGGAACACCAAUGGCGAAGGCAGCCCCCCUGGGAUGACACUGACGCUCAUGUACGAAAGCGUGGGUAGCAAACAGGAUUAGAUACCCUGGUAGUCCACGCCCUAAACGAUGUCAACUGGUUGUUGGGGGAGUGAAAUCCCUUAGUAACGAAGCUAACGCGUGAAGUUGACCGCCUGGGGAGUACGGUCGCAAGAUUAAAACUCAAAGGAAUUGACGGGGACCCGCACAAGCGGUGGAUGAUGUGGAUUAAUUCGAUGCAACGCGAAAAACCUUACCUACCCUUGACAUGUCCGGAAUCCUGCAGAGAUGCGGGAGUGCCCGAAAGGGAAUCCGAUCUCAGGUGCUGCAUGGCUGUCGUCAGCUCGUGUCGUGAGAUGUUGGGUUAAGUCCCGCAACGAGCGCAACCCUUGCCAUUAGUUGCUACAUUCAGUUGGGCUAAGAAGACUGCCGGUGACAAACCGGAGGAAGGUGGGGAUGACGUCAAGUCCUCAUGGCCCUUAUAGGUGGGGCUACACACGUCAUACAAUGGCUGGUACAAAGGGCAGCCAAGCCGCGAGGGGGAGCUAAUCCCAUAAAGCCAGUCGUAGUCCGGAUCGUAGUCUGCAACUCGACUACGUGAAGUCGGAAUCGCUAGUAAUCGUGGAUCAGAAUGUCACGGUGAAUACGUUCCCGGGUCUUGUACACACCGCCCGUCACACCAUGGGAGCGGGUUCUGCCAGAAGUAGUUAGCCUAACCGCAAGGAGGGCGAUUACCACGGCAGGGUUCGUGACUGGGGUGAAGUCGUAACAAGGUAACAC